rnacentral:lncRNA from 1 species
AAAUACAUACAUUAUGUAAGCCGCGAGAACGUCUCAAUAAACUCAAAACUGAGGCGACUUGGGUGAAAAUAAAUGCAUAUGGCACCACGCACAUCCCUUGAGCUUGGGAAGGAGGCGCUGUAUUGGAAUCUAGCGUCGAAAAACGUGCUGCUAGGAAAGUUGGUGGGUACCGGAUAUGCGACGCAGGUGCACGCGGUGGAGUUCGGCCAGACAUGAUAUUCAGUGGCAUGACUUGCAUAUAGCACAUUCUCCAUGUCUCUGGCACUGGCUAAGCAAAGCAUGGAGCACUUUGCCGGUGACCUUCUCCGUGAGUGGGGCUGAAAUUGGAUGA